AGUGAACGCUGGCGGUAGGCCUAACACAUGCAAGUCGAACGGCAGCACAGUAAGAGCUUGCUCUUACGGGUGGCGAGUGGCGGACGGGUGAGGAAUACAUCGGAAUCUACUUUUUCGUGGGGGAUAACGUAGGGAAACUUACGCUAAUACCGCAUACGACCUACGGUUGAAAGCAGGGGAUCUUCGGACCUUGCGCGAUUGAAUGAGCCGAUGUCGGAUUAGCUAGUUGGCGGGGUAAAGGCCCACCAAGGCGACGAUCCGUAGCUGGUCUGAGAGGAUGAUCAGCCACACUGGAACUGAGACACGGUCCAGACUACUAAGGGAGGCAGCAGUGGGGAAUAUUGGACAAUGGGCGCAAGCCUGAUCCAGCCAUACCGCGUGGGUGAAGAAGGCCUUCGGGUUGUAAAGCCCUUUUGUUGGGAAAGAAAAGCAGCAGGUUAAUACCCCGCUGUUCUGACGGUACCCAAAGAAUAAGCACCGGCUAACUUCGUG
rnacentral:rRNA from 1 species